rnacentral:rRNA from 1 species
CCUACGGGUGGCAGCAGUGGGGAAUAUUGGGCAAUGGGCGAAAGCCUGACCCAGCAACGCCGCGUGAAGGAAGAAGGCUUUCGGGUUGUAAACCUCUUUUGCCGGGGAGCAAGCGUGCGUUCGUGAACGCGCGUCGAGAGUACCCGGAGAAAAAGCAUCGGCUAACUCCGUGCCAGCAGCCGCGGUAAUACGGAGGAUGCGAGCGUUAUCCGGAUUUAUUGGGGUUAAAGGGUGCGUAGGCGGGAUGCCAAGUCAGCGGUAAAAAUGCGGCGCUCAACGCCGUCGAGCCGUUGAAACUGGCGUUCUUGAGUGGGCGAGAAGUAUGCGGAAUGCGUGGUGGAGCGGUGAAAUGCAUAGAUAUCACGCAGAACUCCGAUUGCGAAGGCAGCAUACCGGCGCCCUACUGACGCUGAGGCACGAAAGCGUGGGUAUCGAACAGGAUUAGAUACCCGUGUAGUC